ACCGCUUGAUGGUAAACAGAACAAGUAUUGCAGCUUGGUCCAACAUUUAUCAAGCUUGGACAGUUAUCCUCAACAAGAUCUGAUUUGUUUCCAAGGGAAUUCGUUGAUGAGCUUGCAAAAUUGCAGGAUAGAGUACCUGCAUUUUCUCCUGAGAAGGAAAUGGGUUGUCCAAUUGAAGUUGUGUUCAAAGAAUUUGAAGAUUGUCCGAUAGCUGCUGCCAGUUUUGGUCAGAUGUCGUCUUCGAAGCAAAUUGAUUGUACCACGACGUUUAAUGACAUGACUAUCAUUG